UUUCAUGAAGAAGCGCCUGGACUAAGCGAUGAUCGGAUAACCGCUUAGUUGACGAGGAGGAGGUUGAUCGAAUGCUCGGCGGAUGCCUCCCGGCUGGUGCGAUUGCAGCCGCAAACUUUUCCUUAAAACAAAGAGGCGACUCUUUGCACAAAGGGAAAAGUCCAAUCGUUU
rnacentral:ncRNA from 2 species